rnacentral:rRNA from 1 species
AUUGAACGCUGGCGGCAGGCCUAACACAUGCAAGUCGAGCGGAUGAAGGGAGCUUGCUCCUGGAUUCAGCGGCGGACGGGUGAGUAAUGCCUAGGAAUCUGCCUGGUAGUGGGGGAUAACGUCCGGAAACGGGCGCUAAUACCGCAUACGUCCUGAGGGAGAAAGUGGGGGAUCUUCGGACCUCACGCUAUCAGAUGAGCCUAGGUCGGAUUAACUAGUUGGUGGGGUAAAGGCCUACCAAGGCGACGAUCCGUAACUGGUCUGAGAGGAUGAUCAGUCACACUGGAACUGAGACACGGUCCAGACUCCUACGGGAGGCAGCAGUGGGGAAUAUUGGACAAUGGGCGAAAGCCUGAUCCAGCCAUGCCGCGUGUGUGAAGAAGGUCUUCGGAUUGUAAAGCACUUUAAGUUGGGAGGAAGGGCAGUAAGUUAAUACCUUGCUGUUUUGACGUUACCAACAGAAUAAGCACCGGCUAACUUCGU